rnacentral:lncRNA from 1 species
AUGGGAGUAAUGUGCCAAAACAGCUUUAAACCUCUUUUGCCCCCUCACACAGCUGGACCUUUUGUCAUCAGGCUAGGUGACCCAAGGGAUACUCGGACUCAUGGUGGCCACCAGCAGUUGCCAGAAGUAGGACAUGACCUGCCUACAAGGGAACACCAGAGCCAGCCACAAGAGUUUUUGUGCUGCUUUGCCAAAGCAGAUUAUAGCAGCCCAGCACAGAGAAGAAUCCACUUCCUAGAUCAUCACCAAGGAUAAGGAGUCUUAAUUCAGACAUUACUAAUUUACAGAGCCUGAGAAUUACAUUGUUAAAGUUUAAUGAAGCUGUGAAAGUGGCCAAACGCUCACAGCCAUGUCAUAUGUGCUUAUUCUCAAAUCUGUGUGAGCUCCUCAACAUCUGCAGUAGGUAGCAAAGCAAUAAUAAGGAGUUGGAAUGAGAGGCGUUGCAUAGGCAACUACCAAGCUGUGUAGAUCUCAUCCAGCUGUGUAACAGCUUUGUUUUAAAGUCAUCAAAAAGGGGGUUGUUUAAAAACAAACAAGCACAUCUGACAAACCCAAUCAACUUCCUGAAGGCCCCAUGAAACUGCCAGUGUAACCAUAUGAUGUAAAAGAGAAGCUGGCCCGGGUGCCAGUUUGCAAGUGAAGCUCAUAACUGUCAAAACUCCAAUAGAAGCACAUGCUGAGGAGAAGAGUGAAGAGGUUUGGGGUUUUGCUCUAGCAGUAGAGGAAAGGGCACUUUAUCACCUGCUGAUACAUACAGGUUAAAUAUAGUUUGGCCACUUUAGCUGCAAGAGAUGAAUCUGAGAGAAGCUAAUUGGAAGACAGGUGCCACUUAACAAUUCUGUUUUGAAGUUCUUGUGAAGCAGUGAUGCAAAAAACAUCAGAUCUUUGUUCACAGGGGCAAGAAUUCAGUUACAUUCACAGACAUCUUAAGGAGCUGACAAGACUGACCAGGAGAUGGAACAGGAGAUGCUACAGAUGAGCAACACAAAAAAUUUAUGUUCCUCAAGGAGAAUUAUCUAAUAGGUAAAAUACAUCUGGGUUCUGCUAUGAUUUUGCUUUAGUAAAUGCAUUUAGAACUGCUGUAGUCACUCAAAACAAUUUUCAGGAACCAGUUUUCCAUCAAAAAAUGUUAUUUGUCAAAAUCAACCCAUUCAACAGGAAAAGAUACAUACUAGUGCUUCUGACAUAAUUUUUCUUACAAAAGUCCCAGUAAGGAAUAAAGCAAUUCAAAAUGCUGGCA